UUGUAGCCCCGAUCGAAGUGAAAAUCUCUCGCUUUUUUGCGAGAAUUGUAACGCAGAGCGGGAAUAAUC
rnacentral:sRNA from 26 species